rnacentral:lncRNA from 1 species
CAAUCGCUUGUAUCACUUGGUGGCUAUUUAUGGUCAUGGUUCAACUCCAUAGUCUUUCUAUAAGUUUGAUAUAAUUAUCUUCAAAUUUCUUCUUUUAUUGGAGGAAAGAUCUGCACUUUUUUCUGCAUAAUUAUCCAAAUAAUAAAAGACGCAAGACAAAAUUACCAUAAUGAUAAUAUCAAUAAUUCGAACUAAAUCUGAGAACAAAAUGCCAAUAUAUGGUUAACAAUAAAUCUCAAUAUUUGGAUGACAAUAACUCAGAUCUGGGGAGUAUUUACAAAAAAAUAAAUAAAUAAAAAGGGAAAAGGGUGCGCUCUCACCGGUGGCCGCCCGUGGAAGAAGAAAAGAAAACUUUUAGAUUUUAGAUUUGAAGUUUUGAGUGAAAGAGAAAGGGUCAAGAUCCAAAUUAUUCUUUUUCAGUUAAUUGUAAGUGUCACAAGAUCAAUCUAUGCAUUCUAUUUAGC